UGAGGAAUAUUGGACAAUGGGGGCAACCCUGAUCCAGCCAUGCCGCGUGAAUGAAGAAGGCCUUAGGGUUGUAAAGUUCUUUCAGUUGCGAAGAUAAUGACGGUAACAACAGAAGAAGCUCCGGCUAAAUUCGUGCCAGCAGCCGCGGUAAUACGAAUGGAGCGAGCGUUGUUCGGAAUCACUGGGCGUAAAGCGUGCGCAGGCGGAUUUGCAAGUCAGGAGUGAAAUCCCAGGGCUCAACCCUGGAACUGCUCUUGAAACUGCAAGUCUAGAGUCCCGGAGAGGUAAGGGGAAUUCCGAGUGUAGAGGUGAAAUUCGCAGAUAUUCGGAGGAACACCAGUGGCGUAGGCGCCUUACUGGACGGGUACUGACGCUCAGGCACGAAAGCAUGGGGAGCAAACAGGAUUAGAUACCCCCGUAGUCC
rnacentral:rRNA from 1 species